UACGUAGGGGCCGAGCGUUGUCCGGAGUUAUUGGGCGUAAAGCGCGCGCAGGCGGCUUCGCGCGCCCGACGUGAAAGCCCCCGGCUUAACCGGGGAGAGUCGUUGGGGACGCGGAGCUUGAGGGCGGGAGAGGUCGGUGGAAUUCCCGGUGUAGUGGUGAAAUGCGUAGAGAUCGGGAGGAACACCUGUGGCGAAGGCGGCCGACUGGGCCGACCUUGACGCUGAGGCGCGAAGGCGUGGGGAGCGAACGGGAUUAGAUACCU
rnacentral:rRNA from 1 species